rnacentral:lncRNA from 1 species
UGUGUCAUUAUUUUUAUUCUUUUUGUGUUUCCUCAGGCUGGUUUCCGCUCCAAACUCUCAGAGAAUGUGUUUGAUCUGCUGGAUCUGUCACCUGCAGUGGUAACACACACUCACUCACACACACACACACAGAGAGAGACUAAAUGAGUCUUUAAACCUGUGGAGAUGAGAAUAUAAAAAUGUGUGUGUGUGUGUGUGUGCGUCUCUUAGGACAGGAAGGAAGCCGAGGGCGAGGCAGAUGUGGACAGCUGUGUGGAUGUCUCUGACUCUGCAGACAGGCAUGUGUUGCGUGAUGAAGAAGAGAAGAAGAGACAAGAAGAGAGGGAGGAAGAGGAGAAGAGAAAGCGUGAGGAAGAGGAGAAGAGACGAGUAGAGAGGGAGGAAGAGGAGAAGAAGAGACGAGUGAGGGAGGAAGAGGAGAAGAGAAAGCGUGAGGAAGAGGAGAAGAGACGAGUGGAGGGGGAGGAAGAGGAGAAGAAGAGACGAGUAGAGAGGGAGGAAGAGGCGAAGAAGAGACGAGUAGAGAGGGAGGAAGAGAAGAGAAAGCGUGAUGAAGAGGAGAAGAGACGAGUAGAGGGGGAGGAAGAGGAGAAGAAGGGACGAGUAGAGAGGGAGGAAGAGGAGAAGAGAAAGCGUGAGGAAGAGGAGAGGAAGAGACUGGAGGACUCAGAGAGACAGAUGGAGGAGGAGAGGAGCAGACUGAGGGAGGAGACACAGGGGAGACUGCAGCUGCUCAGAGAGGCUCUGAUGGAGGACGAGGAGCGCCGAAUGAAGGAGGAGAGUGCUGAGUUGCUCCGGGUCCUGAAGGAGCAGAUGCUCAAACAGAGACGAGACGAGGAGGAGCGACUGAACAACGACAUGCACACACAACUACAACAGCUCAGGCUUGAGAAUGAGGUGAAGCUGCAGGAGCUGUGCUCAGAACUGGAGGCGGAGCGAGAGAGGGUGGAGACUCUGAGGAGGCGGGACCUUGAGCACCUGAGGGAGGAGUCAGAGGAGGAGCUCCGGGCUGAGAGGAGGUGGCUACAAGAGAAGAAGGAGGAGCAGCUGACCUCCAUCAGACUACAGGUGUGUGUAUGAGAGUGUGUGUGUGUGUGUGUGUGUGUGAGAGUGCACCAAUGGUAAUACAGUGUGUGUGUGUGUGUGUGUGAGAAUCCACCAAUGGUAAUACAGUGUGUGUGUGUGUG